GAAGGGCCACCGUAGCUCAGCUGGAAGAGCAUCUGCUUUGCAUGCAGAAGGUCCCAGGUUCAAUCCCCAGCCUCUCCA